UACGGAGGGUGCAAGCGUUAUCCGGAUUCACUGGGUUUAAAGGGAGCGCAGGCGGGCUGGUAAGUCAGUGGUGAAAGCCUUGAGCUUAACUCGAGAACUGCCAUUGAUACUAUCAGUCUUGAAUAUUGUUGAGGUUUGCGGAAUGGGUCAUGUAGCGGUGAAAUGCAUAGAUAUGACCCGGAACACCGAUUGCGAAGGCAGCUCACUAAACUGUAACUGACGCUGAGGCACGAAAGCGUGGGGAGCAAACAGG
rnacentral:rRNA from 1 species